rnacentral:rRNA from 1 species
AGAGUUUGAUCAUGGCUCAGAAUCAACGCUGCGGCGCGCUUAACACAUGCAAGUCGAACGAGAAAGGGGAGCAAUCCCUGAGUACAGUGGCGCACGGGUGAGUAACACGUGGAUGAUCUAUCUCUUAGUGGGGAAUAACCCUGGGAAACCGGGGAUAAUACCGCAUAAGCUCGAGAGAGGAAAGCAGCAAUGCGCUGAGAGAGGAGUCCGCGGCCGAUUAGCUAGUUGGCAGGGUAAGAGCCUACCAAGGCAGAGAUCGGUAGCCGGCCUGAGAGGGCACACGGCCACACUGGCACUGAAACACGGGCCAGACUCCUACGGGAGGCAGCAGUGGGGAAUCUUGCACAAUGGGGGCAACCCUGAUGCAGCGACGCCGCGUGAGCGAUGAANNCCUUCGGGGUGUAAAGCUCUUUCGGCAGGGAAGAUAAUGACGGUACCUGCAGAAGCAGCUGCGGCUAACUACGUGCCAGCAGCCGCGGUAAUACGUAGGCAGCGAGCGUUGUUCGGAGUUACUGGGCGUAAAGGGUGUGUAGGCGGUUGUUUAAGUUUGGUGUGAAAUCUCCCGGCUCAACUGGGAGGGUGCGCCGAAUACUGAAUGACUUCGAGUACGGGAGAGGUGAGUGGAAUUCCUGGUGUAGCGGUGAAAUGCGUAGAUAUCAGGAGGAACCNCGGUGGUGUAGACGGCUCACUGGACCGUAACUGACGCUGAGACACGGAAGCGUGGGUAGCAAACAGGAUUAGAUACCCUAGUAGUCC